UACGUAGGGGGCUAGCGUUGUCCGGAUUUAUUGGGCGUAAAGAGCGUGUAGGCGGCCAGGUAGGUCUGGUGUGAAAACUCGAGGCUUAACCUCGAGAUGUCAUCGGAAACCAUCUGGCUAGAGUCCGGAAGAGGAGAGUGGAAUUCCUGGUGUAGCGGUGAAAUGCACAGAUAUCAGGAAGAACACCCGUGGCGAAGGCGGCUCUCUGGGACGGUACUGACGCUGAGACGCGAAAGCGUGGGGAGCGAACAGG
rnacentral:rRNA from 1 species